rnacentral:rRNA from 1 species
AUCUACAGCCUUACCACCCUGAACAUGUCCACUCCCAUCUGAUCUCGGAAGCUAAGCAGGAUCAGGCCUGGUUAGUACUUGGAUGGGAGAAAAAUGAUGCCAACAGACACUCUUGACA